GAAGGGGGCGUGGCCAGAGUCCAGGGAGCAGCAGGGAUGAGCAGCUCCGAGCGCCUGGCUCCGCUAGGGGUGGGGAAAGGACAGAACGCGGGGAGGGGACGGAGGGAAGGGGAGAGGAAGGGUCCCCUCCUCCAGUGACGUCAGAGAGGCGGCUAGGUGUCCGCGGCCGGAGCUGCCCCUGCGGUAGCCUAGGCUCCGGAGCGGAGUGAGAUCGGGCCCCGGACCUGGAAGGGAGGAGCCGGGGAAACCGGACCCACGGACUCGCGGACACGGACACGCAACCUUCCCUGGCCCGGGCCCAGCGCCCCGGGCCGCCCAUGGCCCGGCCCACCGCCCUCCCGCUGCUACUGCUGUUGUUCCUGGGGACCGGAGCCCAGAAUGUCCAAGUUCAGGUGCCAGCUGAGGUUCGGGGCCUUCUCGGAAGUGAUGUGAAGCUCCCCUGCCACCUUCAGUCUGGGGAAGAUAAAAUUCGAGUGUCCCAGGUAAUGUGGCUCCGCUGGGACAGGUACGGGAGCAGCCAGAGCGUGGCCGUCUUCCAUCCCACACAUGGUGCCAGCUUCCCAAAUUCAGAGCCCUAUGACCAGCGGAUGUCGUUCGUCAUUGGAAACUCCGGGGAAACUGAGGCAGAGCUACGGGACGGCACCCUGCUGUUGAAAGGGCUGAGGGCUGAGGAUGAGGCCAACUACACCUGCGAGUUUGCUACCUUUCCCUGGGGGAGCAGCAAAGGGGCCACUUGGCUCAAAGUGCUGGCUGAGCCCCAGAACCAUGCAGAGCCUCAAGAGGUGACAUUGGGCCCGGACCCAAUGCCCAUGGCCCGAUGUGUCUCCACGGGGGGCCGUCCACCCGCCCGCAUCUCCUGGUUCUCUCCCCUGCUGGGUGAAGGCACAGAGACAAGAACAGCCGGGCCUGUGCCUGGCACCUUCACCGUCACCAGCCGCUUCACCCUGGUGCCCACCCCUCAAGCUGAUGGGGCAAAAGUCACCUGUAAGGUGGAGCAUGAGACUCUUUCAGAGCCUGUCCUGAUUCCCCUCACCCUUUCUGUGAAAUACCCCCCUGAGGUCUCCAUCUCCGGCUACGAUGACAACUGGUUUGUUGGUCGAGUUGAGGCCACCCUCAGUUGUGAUGCCCAGAGCAACCCUGAGCCCAUGACCUACGAGUGGAGCACGACCAUGGGCUUUCUCCCCCCAACAGCUGUGGCCCAGGGACCCCGGCUCAUCAUUCGCUCCGUAGAUGAGUCAGCCAACACCACCUUCAUCUGUAGUGUUGCCAACGCUGUGGGUACUGGUCGUGCCGAGCAGACCAUCCGAGUCCGAGACACCCCCCGAGCCUCGACAGAUGUAGGUCCAGUGGUGUGGGGGGCCGUGGGGGGGACCCUGCUGCUGCUGCUGCUCUUGGCCGGGGGGGCCAUGGCCUUCAUUCUGCUGAGGAGACGGAGAAGGAAGAGCCCUGGAGGAGGAGGAGGAGCUGGUGGCUCCUAUGACCCCAAGACCCAGGUCUUCGGCAAUGGGGGGCCAGUCCUCUGGGCCCCCCCAGCCCCUGGUCCAACCAAGCAGGAUGAGGAGGAAGAGGAGGAGGAGGAGGAGGAGGAGGGAGGGCUCAUGCUGCCCCAGCCAGGGGCAGAGGAUGACAUGGAGUCCCAGCUGGAUGGCUCCCUCAUCUCCCGGAGGGCAGUCUAUGUGUGACACCAGGACAUACCCACUUCCCACCCCCCUGGAGAGACCUGAAUUUGGCUCAAGCCAUCAUGCACACCCUCUUGGACUGGGGCCAAGCAGUCACACAUAUACACCUCUCCUCCUCCUACCUCCCUCAGGGAUCCGAAACUGGGGGAAACACUGGAUGGACUGGUCAGACUGGAAAGGCAUGGGCGCUCAUCUGCCACCCACCCCUUGGUUCCCAGAAUUUGAGGCGGGGCCUGGCUGGGACCUGGGAAAGCAGGGGAGAGGGUGGAGGGGGCACAUUGAAUACACUGGACUUGGCUUCUCUACCUCCUGUGCUCUCAAAAUAGGAUAUGAAAGGGAGCUUUCGAUCACCCUUUCUGUUUUGCCCCCCCCCCAGGGGAGACUGGGGAGGAGACUCAAAGAGACUAUAUUUUCAUAUAGGGUUCCCCCCGCCAACACAUCCAUCCCUCUCCCAAGGGUUCAAUAAAGGACCUUUGAGGAAGAACGAAGGGGAGUUCUGUGAUUUGUCCCAGGGUGGGGGGAGGGGUGGGCGAGGGGCCAGUCUCCAGGUCCCUGAAUGAGGGUUGGUGGGGCCAGAUUCUGGGAGUGGGGGAGGCAUCCUUGAAUUAGGGAGGGUGGGGACUUGGAUAUCUGGAGGGAGCCAUGUGGUAGGCCCAGACAUUUGGGUCACUGCUGAUUCUUUGAACAGGCCUUGGAGUCCCAAGGGGGACAGGAUGCCUGAGACUCCUAAGAAAAAUGGAACCUUCUGGGCAAAGGCGGGUGGCUAGAUGCCUGAGUCACUGGAGGAGUGAUACCUGGGUGGGCGGGGUGGCGGCACUAGGCUCCUGGGUCCAUGCAGGGGUGAGGGCAGGUGGCUGGAUCCCUGAGAAGGCUAGUGGUUUCCUAUCCUCCCUCCCUUUUUAUAAACAUGCAUUAGAUGGCUCAGCCUCUCCCUUCUUGUCUUUCUGUUCUCUCCCAAGUCAUGCCAGGGUGGUGGCAAUGAGGGUACUUUCAGUGACUCAUCUCAGGACAGGAAGGUUCUAUUAGCUCAAGCUCCUGGGAUGGGGGUAGGGGAGAUUUUCCUUUUAGGAUCCUGGCUCUAGAAGUAGGAGGAAAAGAGGAAGGGAAGGAGGAUUGGGGAGAAACUAGAAGACAUGUGAAUUGCCCAAGGUCACAAAUGGUGAGUCAUACAAGCAGUCCUGGGCUGGAAAGCUAGGUCUCCUGAUUCUGUAUUAAAGUGAAAUUCAAAUGUCAGGGCUGGGGAGACAUCUAAGAACAUAGACUGGCUGAGCUGGCAUGUUAAAGAUGGCCAAGUCCACUUUUCAAAUAGGGAAAAUGAGCAGAGAGGGUAAGUGAAAUCUCCAGUCAGCCAGUGAGCCAGGGAAGAACAAGGAGAGGGAGAUGCAUGAAUCGGGGGAGAGGAGGGACUGAGCCUUCCUUGGUACCCCCUCCCCCGCCACGGCCACCUCACUCUCCUCCUCUCCUUCUGGCAGAGUCCCCCGACACAGCGGGUGCUGGAGCCACUGGUGGCAUCAUUGGUGGCAUCAUCGCAGCGAUCAUUGCUCUGGCCGUGGCUGCCACUGCUAUCCUGAUCUGCCGGCAGCAGCGCAAGGAGGAAGACCUACGUGGAAGGCCUGAGGAAGAAGAAGAUGAGCUCGAAGGCCCUCCUGCGUACAAGCCUCCACCUCCUAAGAUGAAACUGGAGGAGCCAGAAAUGCCCUCUCAGCUCUUCACCCUAGGUAGCUCGGAGCACAUCCCUCUGAAGACCCCAUACUUUGAGGCCAGCCUCUCAGCUCCUGAACAGGACAUGCCCAGAUACCAUGAGCUGCCCACCCUCGAGGAGCAGGCAGCGGCUCUGCCACUGCACCUGGAGGAGCCAGGUGAUGCUGCUGGAGAAGAGCGGCUGCCCCUGGAGAAUGACGAGGACUACCUGGACAAGAUCAACCCCAUCUACGACGCUCUGGCUUACACCACCGCCGAGGCCUAUCAAGGCAGGGCCUUCGUCAUGUCCCGGGCCAUGUAUGUGUGAGCCGGGCAGCCUUACAGGAAUGGCCCGCCUGGUCCCUCAUCCUGGCGAUGGAGACUUAGCCUGGGGCUCAGCCAGAAGCACCCCCCUCUGCCGGGACUGUGACUUGUGGCCACACACUCCCCUGCCUCUCUCUGCCCUCCACAGCUUGCCCCUGCGCCCAGACUUGAGCCCUGGGCAGCACAAUUCCUCCCACCACGUCCAGUCUUCCUGCCCUCCCUGCAGGCAGGAGAGGCAAGGGGGGUGCCUGCCUCCAGCACUCCCUCGGGGGCUCAGGGGAGACGUGGCCAGUGCUUGGGGGCCCGUGGGUGUGUGUGGGGGGGGGGCGUCCAGGAGAUGUGAAAGGCCGGCUGAGCUGGCCCUGCAAGCCCCCCUGCCUGGGGGGAUGUGUGGGGGAGGGGAACUGACUUUUGUACACAAAUGUUUCCUAAUAAACACUUUUUAUGUCUA